rnacentral:rRNA from 1 species
UACGGAGGGGGCUAGCGUUGUUCGGAAUCAUUGGGCGUAAAGCGCGUGUAGGCGGCUCGGUAAGUCUGCUGUGAAAGUCCAGGGCUCAACCCUGGGAUGCCGGUGGAUACUGUCGAGCUCGAGUCCGGAAGAGGAGAGUGGAAUUCCUGGUGUAGCGGUGAAAUGCGCAGAUAUCAGGAAGAACACCCGUGGCGAAGGCGGCUCUCUGGGACGGUACUGACGCUGAGACGCGAAAGCGUGGGGAGCGAACAGG